rnacentral:lncRNA from 1 species
CUCAGCUUGGGUGUCACCUCCUCCAGGAAGCCCUCCUUGACCCCAGAGUGGCUCAAAUUCAAGGGCCCGACAAUAUCAAGUGCUGACGAGGACGUGGAGCAGCCGGGACUGUCACGCACUGCUGGGGGGAUGUCAGAUGCUCCGACUGCUGUGCGGCGAGUCCUACGUACGUGCCCCACGAGCCAGCAAGUCCACACGGACGGCUUUACCCAACGGUAAAAUUCGUGUAUUGAAGUCCUAACGCCCAUGACCUCAGAACGUGACCUUGUUUAGACAUAGGCCCUUUACAGAGGCAAUUAAGGUUAAGUGAGGUCAUUAGGGUCAGGGCCCUAACCCGAUGUGACUGGUGUCCUUAUGAGAAGAGGAGAUUAGCACACGGACAUGCACAGCAGGAAGACCAUGCGAGGACAAACGGAGAAGGCAGCCACCUACAAGCCAGGAGAGGGGCCUCAGAAGAAGCCAGCCCCACCGACACCUUGAUCCCAGACUUGCAGCCUCCAGAAGUGUGAGGAAAUGGAUUUCUGUUGUUUAAGCUCGUGGGGGUGGAGCGCUAUAGAAAUCCCAUGGAAGGGACACUAUACAAAACCGCAAAUGGACAGUCUGCCCCGUGCGCCGCAACGCGGAGUGACAAAAGCCAGACGGACGCCAAGGAGGGCAGACUGCGUGGCUCUAUCUACACGGAGUUCUAGGACAGGCGAAACCCACAUCUACUGUUCGAACUCAAGAGGGGGAUCAUCCAGGGGGCUAUGACUGGAAUGGGGCGUGAGGGAAGGUCCCAGGGGCUUGCAAUGUUCUGUUUCUUCCCCCCGGGGGCUGAUUACAUGGAACUUUACACUUGGGAUUUGUGGGGUUUACAGAAACAUCUCAGUUAUGGCUCAGUUUGAAGGAUUUCAUGAGGCUGGCUGGGUAGCAUAGUGGUUAAGUUCGUGCACUCUGCUUGGGCAGCCCAGGGUUCGCAGGUUCAGAUCCUGGACACGGACACACUCCCCCGCUCAUCAGGCCGUGCUGUCGCCGGGUCCCACAUACAAAAUAGAGGAAGAUGGGUACAGAUGUUAGCUCAGGGCCAAUCUUCCUCACCCAAAAAAAUAAUAAUAAUAAAAUGUUUUAAAGAAUUUUGGAAAUAAAAUGUGC